UUUCUUUGUAUGAUGGCAGCUGCUGCAUCUACUGCAAGAAGGUAUGCUUAAGCCACAAUGUCAUGUUAUUUGAAAUUUUGAAAUAUAUCCUCCAGAUCAAAUAUUGCUGGUACCUCUUUUUUCCAUGGUGUAGGUUUCUCUAGAACUUGGCGGCAAUGCACCCUCCAUAAUAUUUGAUGAUGCAGACCUGGAUGUUGCAGUAAAAGCAACGGAAUAGUGGCCAGACAUGUGUUUGUGCGAACAGAGUACUUGUGCAAGAUGUACAAAAAUUAGAAGUAGGAGAUGGCUUUAAGGAGGGGACACCCAGGUCCACUUAUAAACGGUGCAUUAAUUCAAAAGGUAGUCAUUCGUACAAGAUGCUGUUUCCAACGUAUGUUUUUCCUUAUGCAUCUUUGCAAACCUUGAUUUCUAAUUGAGAGAGCAAAAAUCAUUCUCGGCGGCAAAAGGCACAGUCUAGGGAUGACUUUUUAUGAGGCUCUACUGUUAUCCGUGAUCAUGUCUAUGCAAGUUCUGAAAGAUUCACAUAAUUUCAGUGUUUUAGCUUUUUGUCUCUAAAGAAUGAAGUUGAAGCAUCUAGUGUUCUUCGCAUUUGUUUCUUAGGAAGGAGAUUUUCGGACCAGUAGCUCCCCUUAUUCGGUUCAUAACCGAGAAGGAAGCUGUCAGAAUCGCUAAUGACACUAUUGCAGGACUUGCUGCUUAUAUAUUCACAAACAGUGUCCAAUGAUCGUGGCGUGUCUCUGAAGCACUUGAGUACGGGCUUGUAGGGGUGAACGAAAGGACUCAUAUCAACAGAAGCAAGACCAGAAAUGGAAGAAUCACAUUUUUGAAAAUUAGUCAUUCAUUUGGUCCAGUGUCCUCCCACAAUUUGGGGUGGCCUAAAGCAUUAAAAAAAUUGUGUGGCCUAUUAUAUUAUAUACCAAUAAUAUAUAGUAAUACACUAACACCAAAUCAGUACAAAAGUGUAAAAAAUAAUCAAAUGGUUAAAAUAAAAACUAUAUUGGACAAAAGGAGGAUAGUUCUCCUAACUCAAUUCAAACUUGUUAACCAUUUGACCUAGCUAAUAUUUGAUGAUAUGUGGCCUUAAUUCGUCUUCUAUAUAUUGGACAAAAGGAGGAUCAAACUAUGGUAUCC